rnacentral:rRNA from 1 species
UACGUAGGGGUCGAGCGUUGUCCGGAGUUACUGGGCGUAAAGCGUGCGCAGGCGGCGCAUCGCGCCCGGCGUGAAAGCCCCCGGCUCAACCGGGGAGGGUCGUCGGGGACGGGUGCGCUUGAGGGUAUCAGGGGCUGGUGGAAUUCCCGGUGUAGUGGUGAAAUGCGUAGAGAUCGGGAGGAACACCCGUGGCGAAGGCAGCCUCCUGGGCCAAUACUGACGCUCAUGCACGAAAGCGUGGGGAGCAAACAGG